rnacentral:rRNA from 1 species
CACACCGCCCGUCACACCAUGGGAGUGGGUUUCACCAGAAGUAGGUAGCCUAACCGCAAGGAGGGCGCUUACCAUGGUGAGAUUCAUGACUGGGGUG